CUUCAUUCUCUCCUGGUGAUCUCUCCCUGUGGCUUCAGCAGCCUUGCAAACAGAGCUCAGGAGAUACAGAGUGGCCUGACCAGCCAUCUACUCACCAGCUGACUGUCCCCCCCCCCCUUUGGAAUGAUCAUUUAUUGAGUGUAUACUAAACGGCAAGUCAUUUCCAGAAACCUUCUAUGAACAAGGUCUAAUCUUCACAGCUCCACCAGGGUCUCCACCAUAUGGUACCACCUCCCUUUCCAGCCUCGUUUCACACAUCUCCUCUACAAGCACCAACAUGGCUGCUGAUUGCUCAUCAGAAAUGGUCUGUGCAUAUGGCCCGAUGCCUUCUACUCAGCUGUCACCUCAGUUGGUGAGUCCUCCUCCACAAUUUUCCCUGAAAAAAAGGCUGUUUUACAAGGACAGUAUGAAAUCCUACACUAUUCACAAAUCAUUCUAUGGUUGACCCAACAGCAUGUGUUCGCUUUCUCCUGAGUCCUUUUAACUGUUCAUACUACUUCUCUCCUCUCCCUCGUCCGUUGUCCCGAUGUCGUCUUUGUGGUGGUAACAGUGUCUUCCCUGCCAGUCUGCAGCCUCACUGAUGGCAGAGACUGGGUCAUGAUCUUCAUACACCCUACGGCACCCAGCACAGCCGUACACUUCAGAUGUCCUUGGUUACUCAUCCAAAUGAGUAACGAAAGAGCACUUACUCGCCUACCAUCUUAAGCCAGUUCCUCACCACCCCUUGCUUAAGGAAUUGGUCUCUCACCUGGCUUGCUGACUCACUCCUCCCCACCCCAUUCUCUGCCUGCUACGAAAGUCACCUUUCCAAUCACAAGUCUGAGCAGGGCAGAGACAAACUCCUUUGUGUGGUGUACAAAACCCUCUGUGUUCUGGCUACCCUGUUUUGUCUCUGUAGUCCUACCUCUAAUCACUCUCUUGUGACAUGUUGGUGAGGUUCCAGUUCCAGCUGUCCUGCAAGGCUUCUUGCCCCAUGGGUUCUAUACCUUUGCUCACACCAGUCCUUCUUCCGAGAAGCCAACCACAUCCACCUGCAGCACCUGUUCCCUCAUCACUGUGGGGAAAGCCCCUGCCCUCCCAAUGAGCCUCUCCCUUCUUUAGACACCCACCAAACCCUUGUUUCUAUCAUAGCUCCUAGAAUACUUUGCUGUGCUUACUUUUUUACAUGCCUA